AACGAACGCUGGCGGCAUGCCUAACACAUGCAAGUCGAACGAGACCUUCGGGUCUAGUGGCGCACGGGUGCGUACCGCGUGGUAACCUGCCCUUAGGUUCGGAAUAACUCCCCGAAAGGGGUGCUAAUACCGGAUAAUGUCUUCGGACCAAAGAUUUAUCGCCUUUGGAUGGGCCCGCGUUGGAUUAGCUAGUUGGUAGGGUAAAAGCCUACCAAGGCGACGAUCCAUAGCUGGUCGGAGAGGAUGAUCAGCCACACUGGGACUGAGACACGGCCCAGACUCCUACGGGAGGCAGCAGUGGGGAAUAUUGGACAAGGGGCGAAAGCCUGAUACAGCAAUGCCGCGUGAGUGAUGAAGGCCUUAGGGUUGUAAAGCUCUUUUACCCGGGAUGAUAAUGACAGUACCGGGAGAAUAAGCUCCGGCUAACUACGUG
rnacentral:rRNA from 1 species